CUAGGCUUGACAUCCCUUUGCAAAGUCCUUAACCGGACUCCUUUUCUUCGGAAGACAAAGGUGACAGGUGGUGCAUGGUUGUCGUCAGCUCGUGUCGUGAGAUGUUGGGUUAAGUCCCGCAACGAGCGCAACCCCUAUUUUUAGUUGCCAUCAGUUAGGCUGGGCACUCUAGAAAGACUGCCGAGGACAACUCGGAGGAAGGUGGGGAUGACGUCAAAUCAUCAUGCCCCUUAUGCUUAGGGCUACACACGUGCUACAAUGGCUGUUACAAAGGGCUGCGAGACCGCGAGGUGGAGCCAAUCCCAGAAAAACAGUCUAAGUUCGGAUUGUAGGCUGAA
rnacentral:rRNA from 1 species